UACAGAGGGUGCAAGCGUUAAUCGGAAUUACUGGGCGUAAAGCGCACGGAGGCGGUUUUUUAAGUCAGAUGUGAAAGCCCCGGGCUCAACCUGGGAAUUGCAUUUGAAACUGGGAAACUAGAGUGUGUGAGAGGGGGGUAGAAUUCCAAGUGUAGCGGUGAAAUGCGUAGAGAUUUGGAGGAAUACCAGUGGCGAAGGCGGCCCCCUGGCACAACACUGACGCUCAGGUGCGAAAGCGUGGGGAGCAAACAGG
rnacentral:rRNA from 1 species